rnacentral:rRNA from 1 species
GCGUCGGAACGUACCGAGUAAUGGGGGAUAACGUGGCGAAAGUCACGCUAAUACCGCAUACGCCCCGAGGGGGAAAGCAGGGGAUCGCAAGACCUUGCGUUAUUCGAGCGGCCGACGUCUGAUUAGCUAGUUGGUAGGGUAAAGGCCUACCAAGGCGACGAUCAGUAGCGGGUCUGAGAGGAUGAUCCGCCACACUGGGACUGAGACACGGCCCAGACUCCUACGGGAGGCAGCAGUGGGGAAUUUUGGACAAUGGGGGCAACCCUGAUCCAGCCAUUCCGCGUGAGUGAAGAAGGCCUUCGGGUUGUAAAGCUCUUUCAGCCGGAAAGAAACGGUACGCUCUAACAUAGCGUGCUAAUGACGGUACCGGCAGAAGAAGCACCGGCUAACUACGUGCCAGCAGCCGCGGUAAUACGUAGGGUGCGAGCGUUAAUCGGAAUUACUGGGCGUAAAGCGUGCGCAGGCGGAUUAUUAAGCAAGACGUGAAAGCCCCGGGCUUAACCUGGGAAUGGCGUUUUGAACUGGUAGUCUAGAGUGUGUCAGAGGGGGGUGGAAUUCCACGUGUAGCAGUGAAAUGCGUAGAUAUGUGGAGGAACACCAAUGGCGAAGGCAGCCCCCUGGGAUAACACUGACGCUCAUGUACGAAAGCGUGGGUAGCAAACAGGAUUAGAUACCCUGGUAGUCCACGCCCUAAACGAUGUCAACUGGUUGUUGGGGGAGUGAAAUCCCUUAGUAACGAAGCUAACGCGUGAAGUUGACCGCCUGGGGAGUACGGUCGCAAGAUUAAAACUCAAAGGAAUUGACGGGGACCCGCACAGCGGUGGAUGAUGUGAUUAAUUCGAUGCACGCGAAAACCUUACCUACCCUUGACAUGUCCAGACCUGCAGAGAUGCGGGGUGCCGAAAGGAUGUACACAGUGCUGCAUGCUGUCGUCAGC